GGCCGGCGGGCUCUGGGCCUGUGAGGGCAGCGGGCGCCUGCGAGCCGCGCUGCCUUUCCUGAUAUACCCUGAGUGCAUUAGGAUCAAGGAAGCCAGCACCUGUGAGAAGAGACAGCCCCAACAUCAUAUGAAAGUGUCUCUACCGCUGAUAUUUGAGUCAAGUGGACACCCUGUGCAUGGGCAUGUCUUCCAUCUGUUGUGUGGACCCUCUAGCCCAGGGUUUGCCCUGAUGUGAAAGGGACCACUACCCCUGCUACAUGUUGCUGGUGUGAGUGCCUGUCUCUGCAGCACACUUGUGCUCAGGAGCUGGAGCCUGAAUCUAAUCUGCUCCCAAAGCAACAGCCCAAGGACUGCCCAAAGCACUGGUAUGGUACCAUCAUAGCAGUGUGUGUGGGAGAACAUGUGGGCUGCUGACUCUUCAGGCAGAUGACAUGAUAUUUUAUUUCACUCUAUUUCUAGAAACCCCAAACCUUCGUUCCUAAGUGGUGUAUGGUGCAUUAGUGGUGGUGGGAGGUGGCAAAUGCGUGAUUCAGCGGUGCCUGGGUCUUUAUCCUUCAGUACAGGCCCAUCAUAAACAGUGGGAAGAGCUUCUAGCUGAGGGCUGGAAUAGACUAUUUGGCUGUGAAGGCAGUCCUGAAGGAUGCCCCUGGGAGAGGGGCAUGUUCUGCUGCACAUGCUCUGUCUCUGUCUUGUAAACCUGCCCUGCUUCCUAACACAGCACACUCCACCUAAUUUUAGGUAUGUUUUAGACUUGUUUCUUAUGGAACUUUCAUGGGAAUCUUGUGGACUACCGUCUUUGUCACCCUUAUGAUUAAACUUGUUAGCCAAUUUCAGCCAGAAAAGAGCUCCAAAAAUAGUACUGGUCUUCUAAAUUUCACCAAAAAAAGUUGCAUGCGGAAGAAAAGAGAAAUUGUUCCCAGGAUUUCCUCUGAGAGUCACCAGUGCUGCAGCACAUACCAGCUUGCAUGUUGUCAGCAAAGUAUGCUUCUGGGGAGAGCUGUAAGGCAGAAAAAGCUGAAGGGUUAGGAGGGAAGAGUGAAUUGUACUGUGAUUCACUUAGAAAG